ensembl:snoRNA
GUGCUGUGAUGAUGAUCAGAGAAUGGUUUCGCACACUUCUGAGACCUAGUGAUGUGCCAAUCUCUUGGCUGUCUGAGCAU